rnacentral:sRNA from 1 species
CUCAGCUUUAGUGGCGGCUACCGGCGGAGACGGGGGCGGCGGCCACGCCACCGCUGCUGUCACAGAAAGGCUCUGGUGGGUGGGGUGGGAGGCGGGGAAGUGCCGGGGGCGCAGCCGACAUGGGCCCGCCGCCAAGGCUGCUGUGAGCAGCCUCUUUCCCGGUGUGGCCGCCGGCGUGGGCGGGGACGGCGCGACCCUCGCGCGGCCGGGCUGCGGGCUUCCAGGCCAGCGCGCGGGGGCCGGACGGACAGCCCCACACCGACAUGUAACCAUGGACUGCAGGACCAAGGCAAAUCCAGACAGAACCUUUGACUUGGUGUUGAAAGUGAAAUGUCAUGCCUCUGAAAAUGAAGAGGACAGUCCAGUUUAUCUGCCGAGGAUUCCCCCUGGAAAAGUACGCCGAUUCGCAUUUUGCAUUAAGAAACUGGAAAACUUUCCUGUCGGUCCUGGCGUAGCGCCUCCCGUGUCCGGGGUAGACCUUGUACCGGCUGAAACCGCAUAGCUCGACCUUCAUGGCGGCAGCUCCACGGGAGGAGAAAAGAUGGCCCCAACCUGUAUUUUCGAGUAAUACCCUUUAGAAUUCAUAAAAGUCUAAGAACACUUUGUAAAUGGAAUGUUUCAUAGUUCACACUAAAGUGAACAUAAACUGUUAAGCAAAACUUUAGAUCACUUCUUCUAACAAAGGAAAUGUACCCGAGAACCCAUGAGAAGUAGCUUCAGAGUACUUUUUUUAACAGUGAAUUCUCUGAGGUCUUGGACUUUUAAAUUUUAUUUAGUUUAAUUGCCAAAAGCCAAGGUGGAGCUGUGUAGCAUUCUGAGGAAAUAAAACCACUUGAAGCAGAGGUAUAAUAGAAUAAAGCCAUUCUGCCUCCAGGAUUUGGGUGGAUGUAUUUGGUACUGUAAUCAUUUUACAGAUUGCUAAUUCAUUGAUGUAAAAGAUACUCAAUGGUAGGCAUGUUGGGCCCAUUCAAUAUUGUUUUUUGUACCUUUCUGUUAACUUUUGUAUUAUUCACAUAUAAUAUAGAUUUAACCAAAUCUAUUUUCUUAAAAUUGCAUAUUACUGUUUUAUGAAAUGUUCUUUUAAAUUUUGUUAAAAUUUUGUCCGCUUUUUCUACAGAAGUAGGAAUGAAAUAUUUAACAUUUUCUGCCAGUUCUUACUUAUCCACUGUGUUCCAGAGUCUUUAAUUUAAAUAUUUUUGUUUGCCAGGCUUAGAUUUUCAUGUGUCUAUUAAAAGAGUAGGAACAUACUCCUCCAUGCCAGACAUCUGCUAUGUAUAAGCAUUGAUUAUUUUCCCCCUUAUGAAUAAAUGUAUUUCUUUUGUUAAGUUUGUUGUAGGUUAAAAAAAAAAGCAUAUUUAUGUUUCUCCUAAAAUUUGGGAAAUCAAUUUAUAUUACUCUAUGGAGUAUGUAACAAAUGAUGUAUUCUUUAAUUCUGAAUCCUGUAUACAGUAGUUACACCCUUAUCUUUCAUUAAUUGCUGUCUGUUUGUAGGGUUUUGAACUAUUCUGAUUAUUUUGCAAAGUUUUUUUUUUUUAAAUUACGAAUGUAAUGUAUUGCAGUCAAUUUUGAAAGAAGGAAAAAGAUUUUUCUUUUUAUACCAAUAACACAAAACAUCUAUUUUUGUGUAUUCCUUUUUAGAUUUCAAUAUGAGCUUAUUAAAUGUGGUUGUAAUCAUAUAUAGUUUUCACUUAAUUUUCAAUAUUUGUUGUUGCUAUUGGUUUAAAUUACAAAAUAUUUCAUAAACUGCAGCAGUCCCCAAAGCCCCUUGUAAAUAUUCAUGAACUCAACCAUAACUUAAUAUACUUGAGAGAAUUAUCUUUCACUACCAUCAUAUGACUGAAUUUAAAUUUAUCUAAUGUGUUUAACUUUUUACAGGUUAAAAAAUUUACAGAUAGUUUUUAUAAGAAUGGUUUGGUUUAUAUACUCUAUUUUCAUUUCUAAGUUUUAAUCAGUUAUCUACUUUUUAGUUUACUGUUUCUCUUCUGUUCAAUAUUUUAAAACUUAUUCAGGAAUAUGAAAAGAUAUGACAGUUUUAUUUUGACUUCUGCAUUUUGAUUGGGUCCUUCAGUGAAAAAUACAGUAGCAGAAUUUCUAAUGAUAAAUAUUUAAUGUAAAUACUGCAAAUAAAAUAUAAUUUCUUGUAA